GCCGGGCGUUGUGGCAGGCGCCUGUAAUCCCAGCUACUUGGGAGGCAGAGGCAGGAGACUCGCUUGAGCCCAGGAGUUGGAGGUUGCUGUGAGCUGUGAUGCUACGGCACUCUACCCAGGGUGACAGCUUGAGGCUCUGUCUCAAAAAAAAAAAAAAAAGUUAAGGUUCUAAGAGAAUUUUUUUUUUUUGAGACAGCGUCUCACUUUGUGGCCCUCCGUACAGUGGUGUCGUAGCUCACAGCAACCUCAAACCCUUGGGCUCAAGCAAUCUUCUUGCCU
rnacentral:sRNA from 1 species